GCCUGCGACGCUACUGCGCGGCGAAGACAGCUACAUUAAAGUCAUCAACAUGGGCUCGGAGACCAUCAUGUGGCCGCCGGGCGAGGUCCUGCCGAGGGCCAACAGCUGCGAGGAGCCACAGCCAAACAGCCAGGAUGGCCGAAUGUAACGGACGUGACGUCAGCUGUCAUGCCCUGCCGCCAGCCAAGCCGCCAAGCCAUAUUAACACGCCCCCUUCCGCCACAGCCAAAGCCAACGAAGGGGGGAUAGUGUUAAUAAAACUAAGCCGUGCCAGCCAUUUCUACCUGCUUUCACAAAUAAAAGAACUUGUCGUUA